rnacentral:rRNA from 1 species
UACGAAGGGGGGCUAGCGUUGUUCGGAAUCACUGGGCGUAAAGCGCACGUAGGCGGGUUCUUAAGUCAGGGGUGAAAUCCCGAGGCUCAACCUCGGAACUGCCUUUGAUACUGGGAAUCUUGAGUUCGGGAGAGGUGAGUGGAAUUGCGAGUGUAGAGGUGAAAUUCGUAGAUAUUCGCAAGAACACCAGUGGCGAAGGCGGCUCACUGGCCCGAUACUGACGCUGAGGUGCGAAAGCGUGGGGAGCAAACAGG